rnacentral:rRNA from 1 species
UACGAAGGGGGCUAGCGUUGCUCGGAAUGACUGGGCGUAAAGGGCGCGUAGGCGGUUCGUACAGUCAGACGUGAAAUUCCCGGGCUCAACCUGGGGGCUGCGUUUGAUACGUUCGGACUAGAGUGGGGAAGAGGGUCGUGGAAUUCCCAGUGUAGAGGUGAAAUUCGUAGAUAUUAGGAAGAACACCAGUGGCGAAGGCGGCUCACUGGUCCGGUACUGACGCUGAGGUGCGAAAGCGUGGGGAGCAAACAGG